rnacentral:misc_RNA from 1 species
CACAUUAGAGUAUGUAGGCUUCGGCUGAUUAUCUUUAUCACCCUUGUCUUUUGCGCUACCUUCGUUUCCUCGGCGGGUUCGCCCGCCCGAUGGACCACCAUAAACCAUUUUAUGCAGUUGCAAUCAGCGUCAUGAUAACAAAUUAAUCAGUUA